AUUGAUAGUUAACUAGUGUGCUUGUUCUUUGUACAGGAAAGAAGAGAGCUUCAGAUACCAAACAAUGAUCCAUGAAUGGGAAUGAGGAAUUUAUAGAGGUAAUAUUACCGAAGGAGAGACUGAGGGGUAUAUCAGAACACGACUUAACAGCCAUCAUUGAGAAUAUUACCUUCAAACUCAUUUUACU
rnacentral:lncRNA from 1 species